rnacentral:rRNA from 1 species
UACGGAGGAUCCGAGCGUUAUCCGGAUUUAUUGGGUUUAAAGGGAGCGUAGAUGGAUGUUUAAGUCAGUUGUGAAAGUUUGCGGCUCAACCGUAAAAUUGCAGUUGAUACUGGAUAUCUUGAGUGCAGUUGAGGCAGGCGGAAUUCGUGGUGUAGCGGUGAAAUGCUUAGAUAUCACGAAGAACUCCGAUUGCGAAGGCAGCCUGCUAAGCUGCAACUGACAUUGAGGCUCGAAGGCCAGGGGAGCGA